CGCGGGCCGGCGCUCCGGGCCGGAGCGCGUCGCGGUGCUGGGCGUCACGGCGGAGCAGCGGACGGGCGCGGCGUCCCUGCGUCUUCGCUGCUGCGCGACAGGCAGCUUGGCGGUUGGGCGCGCCUGGGGCUCAGAGGUGGCUGCUGCGCCGGCGCAGUCAGAUCUGGCGCAGGCGGCGCGGGCCGCGGGCGGCGCAGGCUGCGGGCGUCCACCCCAUGGCUUGGCCCUGGCCGGUGGUGGUGGAGGCGCAGCAGAGGCGGGCUGGUUGGCGUGCUAGCCGGACUCCAGCUGAUUCUGGCGGUUGGACGGCGGCGAGCAGCGCGGGUUAACUCCCUGGGUGCCAAAACCAUGGAGGCUGCGGAACUACUGCUCCCGCCCCUGUCCAUCCGCGACCGGCUAAGGUCAAUGCGAAGCGUGACUUCCAUCGUCUGGGGCGGAGGAGCUGGAGACCUCCUUGACGAGUGCCGCCCAGUCGAUUGGGUCGGAUUCCUUGCUGGAUCUGCUGCUGGAGCAGGCAAUGGUGGAGGGGAGGGGACGAGAGGGGAGGAGAUGGGCAGUGAAGACGGAGCGGUCAAGAAGAGCAAGGACUUUGACUAGGGUUUGAUCUAGGUUGGGUAUUUGUGGGGACAAGGUGCAGGGGGAGCGCAGGAUGGCUGUUAUAUCCUUGGUUGCUUGGCAUGGCAAGAAGCCAAAAUCUGUAGUUGGUCUACAAGCAUCUAAGCCAAAAUCUAUUAUGAAGGUUUGUAAGGGUGCUAAUAAGGACCAAUCUGUUUAUUUCUCUGAGGCGGUUGAAGAUAUCGACAGAUGAUUUGAAGUGAAGAUGAUCUACCAAGAAUUAGCGACGAUCAGAGAUCAUGGGCGUCCAAAGGAAAUACUGCUUGCUUUUUCUAACAAGUAUUAAUCAUAUUUGUAAAGCUCUUUAUUUGAACUUUGUUGUUGUAAUUAAUACUAUUGAGGAUGGAUGCAUGAGAAGUAGUGGUCAUGCUGUUAGACAAAAUUAUACCGAGAACUUGAGUGAAGGAACAGCCAAUUGGCCGAUAACAUGCCCAAUUGCAAUGCGAGACUUAUAUUUAAGACAA